UAACUCUGGUGUCUCCUCAUUUGCGGAUAAAUCUUUCGCCUUUUACUAAAGAUUUCCGUGGGGAGGCACAAUACAAUGAGUCUUGUCUCAUUUUUAAUGCUGAAAAUUCCAAUCUGUAU
rnacentral:snRNA from 1 species